rnacentral:SRP_RNA from 22 species
UUCCAGCAUACAGCAAUAUUUUUAUUAGUAAAUUCGAUCAGGUCCGACAGGAAGCAAUCGUAGCUACAAAAAGUAUGUGUAUAGUAUGCUGGAAAAUU